rnacentral:rRNA from 1 species
GUGGCUCCAUGCUCUAGAUUACGCGAAGACCUUACCUACCCUUGACAUACAGAGAACUUUCUAGAGAUAGAUUGGUGCCUUCGGGAACUCUGAGACAGGUGCUGCAUGGCUGUCGUCAGCUCGUGUUGUGAAAUGUUGGGUUAAGUCCCGUAACGAGCGCAACCCUUAUCCUUGUUUGCCAGCGAGUAAUGUCGGGAACUCCAGGGAGACUGCCGGUGAUAAACCGGAGGAAGGUGGGGACGACGUCAAGUCAUCAUGGCCCUUACGAGUAGGGCUACACACGUGCUACAGUGGCGCAUACAGAGGGCGGCCAACUUGCGAAAGUGAGCGAAUCCCAAAAAGUGCGUCGUAGUCCGGAUUGGAGUCUGCAACUCGACUCCAUGAAGUCGGAAUCGCUAGUAAUCGUGGAUCAGAAUGCCACGGUGAAUACGUUCCCGGGUCUUGUA